UACGAAGGGGGCAAGCGUUGUUCGGAAUUACUGGGCGUAAAGCGCGCGUAGGCGGUUUUUCAAGUCGGGCGUGAAAGCCCCGGGCUCAACCCGGGAAAUGCGCUCGAAACUUGAAGACUGGAGGCCGGAAGAGGGUAGUGGAAUUCCCAGUGUAGAGGUGAAAUUCGUAGAUAUUGGGAAGAACACCAGUGGCGAAGGCGGCUACCUGGUCCGGAUCUGACGCUGAGGCGCGAAAGCGUGGGGAGCAAACAGG
rnacentral:rRNA from 1 species